rnacentral:lncRNA from 1 species
UUACACUUCUGUAUAAUUUUUGACUUACAUUUUUCAGGCGGCGUUAUUGUAAUAGUCUGAGCUGUAAAUUCUUCAUCAAAAUACCUGGUGUCUGUCUCAGACGUCACUUGAGGUUUAAAAGGAGGUACAAGCUUUUUAUCAUAUACAUCUUGCCAGUUUACUCCAGCAAAGAAACUAUGACGCAUGAUUUCUUUUGCAUCAUCUGGGCCUCCACCAAGUCGCUUAUUUGGAUCUUUUAUCAGUAGGCCUGAAAGUAAUGAUUUUGCAUCUGCAGAUAGAGUUCGAGGAAAUUUUAUGUCCUCCAUUAGUAUCAGUUCAAAUAGUUUCUCGUGAUCUUGGUUGUAGAAAGGCAAUCUUCCACACAUCAUUUCAUACAUGACAACUCCUAAUCCCCACCAGUCCACUGCACGACCAUAGUCAUUAUCUUCCAAC